rnacentral:lncRNA from 1 species
AAGAAGUCAGGCCGGUUUAAGCCAUAGUACGGUAAGAGCUAUGCUGCCUGUGAGCCCCGUCCAAGGACGUAAAAUGAAGUCAGGCCGAAAGCCACGGCUUGAGCAAACCGUGCUGCCUGUGGCUCCAUCGUGGGGAUGUAAAAACCCGGGAGGCUGCAACCCAUGGAAGCUGUACGCAUGGGGUAGCAGACUAGUGGUUAGAGGAGACCCCUCCCAAGAUACAACGCAGCAGCGGGGCCCAACACCAGGGGAAGCUGUACCCUGGUGGUAAGGACUAGAGGUUAGAGGAGACCCCCCGCACAACAAUAAACAGCA